GAAAGAAAGAAAGAAAGAAAGAAAGAAAGAAAGAAAAGAAAGAAAGAAAAAGAAAGUAGUUGGCUAAGGGCCUGGCUCAUCCAGAGCCUGUAUAAAUCAGGGUGGUGUGGUAGACUGAAUAAUGCCCCCCCCCCCAAUAUCCUUGUCCUCAACUCCAAGGACCUGUGAACACGUGAUUAAGUUAAGGAUUUUGAGAUGGGGAAAUUAUUAUUCGAGUGGGCCUAAUAUAAUCACAAGGGAGGCAGAAGAGUCUGAGUAACGAAAGGUGAUGUGAUGGAGAGAAGGAGAGAAGAGAGGGAGAGAUUUUGGAAGAUGCUAUGUUGCUGGCUUUGAAGAUGGAGGAAGGGACCACGAGGCAGGGAUGCAGAGAGCCUCUUAGAGCCUGGAAAAAGCAAGGAAAUGGAUUCUCCCCUAGAUCUUCCAGAAGGAGCCAGCCCUACCAACCAUUUUAGUUUUAUGGACUUCUAGAACUAUAUGAGAAUAAAUCUGUGUUGCUUUAAGUCAGUAAGUUUGUAGCUUUUUUUUAAAAAUAGCAGUCAUUGGAAACUAACUUAGGCAGUCAUUAUUCCUUUAUUUAUUUAUUAUUUUAAGAUUUUAUUUAUUUAUUCAUGAGAGACCCAGAGAGGGAGAGAUUGAGAGGCAGAGACACAGGCAAAGGGAGAAGCAAGCUCCAUGCAGGGAGCCCAACGUGGGACUCGAUCCCGGGUCUCCAGGAUCAGGCCCUGGGCUGAAGGCAGCGCUAAACCACUGAGCCACCUGGGCUGCCCUAUUCCUUUAUUUAUAUUGUAUCAUUUAAUCCUGCAGCAUCACUGGCCACAUUUUCUCCCCCACCGUCCCAAAGCCAGCAAGAUUUGGAGAUCAGGGUAGAGAGCUGUUUACCUCUCUGCUUCAGUUUCUUCUCCUGUAAAUUGGGGUUUAUAAGAGGAUCUCCUUCUUAGGUUUGGGUGAUUGUUCAAGGAGGUAGUAUGCACAAAGUCCUUAGAACAAUGCUGGCAUAUGGUAGGCACCAUGUAAGUGUUGGCUAUAUUCAUUUUUUAAAGUAAGCUCCAAGCCCAGCAUGGAGCCCAAUGUGGGGCUUGAGCUCAUGACCCUGAGAUCAAGAUCUGAGCUGAGGUCAAGAGUUGGAUGCUUAAUCAAGUGGGCCUCAGGUUCAUUGCUUGUAAUAACUUCCCAGGAUUUUGGGGGGAGGUGACAUGUGUUCAUACAUAUGAAGAGUUUAGUAUAGUGCCUGGUAUCUAGGAAGCGCUCAGUAAAUGGGCAUUAGUGUGUUGAGGGUGGACCUUAGUGUCAGUAAGACACAGGUUUAAAUCUUGGCUCCUCCACUGGCUAGUUUUAUUAUUUCAAGCCAGUUAGUUGACCUCUCUGUGCCUCAGUUUCCUUAUCUGGAAAAAGGAUCGCUCAGAGGCUUUAGGGGGUUAUGCAUGUAAGUGUGCUUAACACAGGGCCCCACAAGUGUGCAUUCUCAAGAGUGUCAUCAUCAUCAUCAUCACCACCACCCACCACAAUGAUACACACUGCAUUCAAAAUACCACACAGAGGGGGCACCUGAGUGGCUCAGUGGGUUAACUGGUGGACUCUGGGUUUCCACUCAGGUCAGGUCAUGAUCUCAGGGUAGUGAGAUCGAGCCGCGGGGUAGAUUGCCACACUCAAUAGGGAGUCCGUUUGAAGAUUCUCUCCCUUUGCACCUCCCUGCCCACUCUCCCCCCACCCUCUUCAUGAUAAAUAAAUCUUUAAACCAGAAUACUUUGCAGAGACAGCACAGCAGAGCGGCUACCAUAUAACCUAUCCUGUCACUAUACAUCAAGGAACACAGCACCUGAAACCGAUCCACCUGCAGGGGUCACCACUCUUAUUGCGCGCCAAGUGAGGAGCCUCCAGGAGUUUUGAGUUCAUGCCUACGCUAUCUGGCAGUCCUGACCACUGAGGAGGAUGGAUUUCCUCAGAAUCUGGACGGAGAACCUCCUCAGGACUUUCCACCGGUCCCCGUUGGAGAAGGCGAUCCCUGGGGAGAAAGGGAGGGGCCAACUCAACUGAUGACUUGUCCCCAAGACUACUGCCAUCCGAGUCUCCUUUCCUGGUGACUGCUGGGAGAGAGGCUGAGAAUUUGGAAUCAACCCCCUAUGUCCACCCUGGGAAGUCCUACCUAACCCUCCAGCCUGGGUCAAGUGCCACCUCUGAGCUUCCAGAGGGUCCUGGGCUUCCUCACCAUGGUCCUGAUCACUCUGCCUCUGUUUCCUUCAUCACAGACCUGAUCUUUCUGAACUAUCACCAUCUAGCCAUGGGGCUAUCUCCUUCCAUAAGCUGUGAAGGUGGGGGUGAGAAUGGAGGGAGGAAGGGGGUGUCUUGGUCAUCACUGUGUCCCUAGCAUUGUCCACAGUGUAGGGCUUACCACACUGGAGGUGCUGGUGGUGAUUGCUUAAAAAUUAAUGAAAGCACAAAUAAGGGAGAAAAACAAGGGAAAUAAACACUGAGGCAUUGGGACCUCAUUCAGGAACAAGA